AGAGUUGAUUCUGGCUCAGGACGAACGCUGGCGGCGUGCUUAAUACAUGCAAGUCGAACGAAGCCUAGUCUUUAGUUACUAUAGACGAAAGCUUAGUGGCGGACGGGUGAGUAACGCGUGGAGAAUCUGCCCUCAAGACCGGGAUAACAGAGCGGAAGUUCUGCUAAAACCGGAUAUGCUCUGAGAGCCGCGUGGUUUAAAGAGGAAAACGUUAGUGCUUGAGGAUGGCUCCGCGUCCCAUUAGCUAGUUGGUAAGGUAACGGCUUACCAAGGCGACGAUGGGUAGCCGGCCUGAGAGGGUGACCGGCCACACUGGGACUGAGACACGGCCCAGACUCCUACGGGAGGCAGCAGUAGGGUAAUUUUCCGCAAAGUGGGACGAAAGCCUGACGGAGCAACGCCGCGUGAAGGAUGAAGGCCUUCGGGUCGUUAAACUUUUGUCUUUGGGGACGAUAAUGACGGUACCCAAGGAGGAAGCCCCGGCUAACUACGUGCCAGCCGCUGC
rnacentral:rRNA from 1 species